CGCGUAGGCGGUCUGGUAAGUCUGGUGUGAAAUCCCGGAGCUCAACUCCGGAACUGCACUGGAUACUGCCAGGCUUGAGUGCGGGAGAGGAGAGUGGAAUUCCCAGUGUAGAGGUGAAAUUCGUAGAUACUGGGAGGAACACCGGUGGCGAAGGCGGCUCUCUGGACCGCAACUGACGCUGAGGCGCGAAAGCUAGGGGAGCAAACG
rnacentral:rRNA from 1 species